UCUAUUUCCAAAAUAUACAGUUGAAUGCUUAAUGACUGAUUUAACAUGGGAGCUCCAAGACCUGUAUGGAUGUUGAAUGCCACCAUAUGGGAAACAAAGCUUUCUUGUUUAGCAUCAGUAGCUCACUGUAUUAAAAAUGGUCAGCGAUCUGGUUCUUUCAAUGCACUAAAGUUCCAAAGCCCCAUUGAUUCAUGGUCAGGGCAGGGCAGCUCUCUUAUGACUGCAGCUCAGCAAUGGCUAGUUUGUCCAAAAUGUACCACAGAUCUAACUGCAGUUGGAUUAGUGCAAAAUUAUACUCUUGAGUAAGAACAAUUUAACAUGUUAAAAGAUUACAUUCCUAGUUAAAAGAGACAUAAACUUGACAGAAAAAGGAUGCAUAAUAAAUAGGUUGAUUUAAGAAAACUACAGAUGAAUCAAUGGGGCUACAACAGAAACUUUUUAAGACAGCUGACACUACAUUCUUAAGUCCAUGCCUUUAACUCAGAUUUACACCUGUCCUCAAAUGUCAAAAUAUUGAGACUAGACAGCACUUUGACUAUAGGGGGAGCGCAGAAGGUUUAUGAAAGGAAGCUAUAGAUACAGCUAAAUUAAUGUCACAGUGCCCUGGCAUUUUCACUUCCAUAACAGGAAAGACUCAUGUAUAAACUAUACAGGAAUUAAUUUAAAAAUAAUUCAUAACAGACCUUUGUGACUGCAAAAGGACAAAAAAAAAUUCUUUUCACUGGGUUGGGUUCAUAAGACUUUUACACUUGCAAGGGAAAAUAAUCAGAGGCCAACUGUGAGAUAUCCUGUAUUUAUUCUAUAGUUCAUCAUCAACAGCAGUAAUUUUGCUGUUAUGAAAACACAAUACCCAGGCUGCAGUGAGAAAGAACAGCAAUAUAGACUUGAGCCUUCUGUUUAAAGAUAAGAGCAUUUGAAGUAAAUUCUAAUUACUUCGUAUAUGAAGGUUGCAAAACCUGAUAAACAAAAAGUCUUUUCUUUAAUACAUCUUAGUUGUUUGUUUCUUCCUGGACACCAACAGGACUAGGACUUGUUUUAAUACUGGUCCUUUUAGCUCCACUUUAAUAAAGCUUCUGCUGUGAUUGUUGCCAGAACAUCCUGCAAUGUAAGGGAUCACUAGCAUUAAAGAUGCAUUAAAGUCACAUCCCAUUAAACAUCAUGACUAGUUUUUACAUAUUGUGUAAAAUUGACAGCAAAACGAGAGAGCCGAAAGACAAGAGAGACUAAAAUGGGUGAGAUAAAAAUUCUCUUUGGAAGAGUUGGUAUUUCCAGUAGAGCGGCUUGCACCCUACGUGCUGUAUUCCAUAAGGAAUUCU